rnacentral:lncRNA from 1 species
UCUUUUUUUUGUGCCCUCAACGCACGCCGACUCAACGACGACUCUUACAUGCUUCACCUUACCUCGCCUCUUCAAGGCGGCGGGUCACAUCUCUUGGAUCUACUAAUAAUUAUCGAAAUCCAUCCAAUAAUUAUCAGCACAGAGAGAUCCCGCGCGGUGGAGCAUAGGAAGAGAUCUUGCCGGCCGCCACGCCCCGUCAACUCCGCCGCCGCCUCCAGCCAACCUCGAACGGAACAACACGAUCACGCCGCGGUCCGCCACAUC